rnacentral:rRNA from 1 species
AGAGCGAACGCUGGCGGCGUGCUUAACACAUGCAAGUCGAACGAGGUCUGUAGCAAUACAGAUACUCGUGGCGAACGGGUGCGUAACACGUGGAUAACCUUCCUUCAGGUGGGGAAUAACCCAGUGAAAAUUGGGCUAAUACCGCAUAACAUGACGAUGCCACAUGGUGUUGUCUUCAAAGGCGCAAGUCGCCAGAAGAGGGAUCCGCGGCCGAUUAGCUAGUUGGCGAGGUAAUGGCUCACCAAGGCAAUGAUCGGUAGCCGGACUGAGAGGUUGGCCGGCCACACUGGAACUGAGACACGGUCCAGACUCCUACGGGAGGCAGCAGUGGGGAAUCUUGCACAAUGGACGAAAGUCUGAUGCAGCAACGCCGCGUGGGGAUGAAGCUUUUCGGAGUGUAAACCCUUUCGACCCGGAAGAAAGCCCGCAAGGGUUUGACGGUACGGGUAUAAGAAGCCCGGCUAACUACGUGCCAGCAGCCGC